AAUUCAGGAAGCCCUGUUAAAUUUGAGAUCAACUAUGAAUAUUCUUUUAAGUAUAAGUAUGUCCCUUGCAAUAUUUGGGACAUACUUAUGCAAAAAAAGUAUUCAUUGUUUAUCUGAAAGUCAAAUAUAACUGGGUAUUUUGUAUUU
rnacentral:miRNA from 1 species